rnacentral:misc_RNA from 1 species
UCCGAGUUGACCCCGGCAGUCUCCUAUGAGUCCCCGCCAUAACGCGCUGGCAACAUAGAACGAGGGUUGCGCUCGUUGCGGGACUUAACCCAACAUCUCACGACACGAGCUGACGACAACCAUGCACCACCUGUACACCGCCCUUGCGGACCCACCAUCUCUGGAGGAUUUCCGUGCAUGUCAAGCCUAGGUAAGGUUCUUCGCGUUGCAUCGAAUUAAGCAACAUGCUCCGCCGCUUGUGCGGGCCCCCGUCAAUUCCUUUGAGUUUUAGCCUUGCGGCCGUACUCCCCAGGCGGGGUGCUUAAUGCGUUAGCUUCGGCACGGAUAGAAUGAACUACCCACACCAAGUAUGCAUCGUUUAGGGCGUGGACUAC